rnacentral:rRNA from 1 species
AGCGAACGCUGGCGGCAGGCUUAACACAUGCAAGUCGAACGGGCGUAGCAAUACGUCAGUGGCAGACGGGUGAGUAACACGUGGGAACGUACCUUUUGGAUCGGAACAACUGAGGGAAACUUCAGCUAAUACCGGAUAAGCCCUUACGGGGAAAGAUUUAUCGCCGAAAGAUCGGCCCGCGUCUGAUUAGCUAGUUGGUGGGGUAAAGAGCCCACCAAGGCGACGAUCAGUAGCUGGUCUGAGGAGGAUGAUCACGCCACAGUUGGGACUGAGACG